AGCGAACGCUGGCGGCAGGCCUAACACAUGCAAGUCGAGCGGAUCCUUCGGGAUUAGUGGCGGACGGGUGAGUAACACGUGGGAACGUGCCCUUUGGUUCGGAACAACUCAGGGAAACUUGAGCUAAUACCGGAUGUGCCCUUCGGGGGAAAGAUUUAUCGCCAUUGGAGCGGCCCGCGUCUGAUUAGCUAGUUGGUGAGGUAACGGCCCACCAAGGCGACGAUCAGUAGCUGGUCUGAGAGGAUGAUCAGCCACACUGGGACUGAGACACGUCCCAGACUCCUACGGGAGGCAGCAGUGGGGAAUCUUGCGCAAUGGGCGAAAGCCUGACGCAGCCAUGCCGCGUGAAUGAUGAAGGUCUUAGGAUUGUAAAAUUCUUUCAGCGGGGACGAUAAUGACGGUACCCGCAGAAGAAGCUCCGGCUAACUUCGUG
rnacentral:rRNA from 1 species